rnacentral:rRNA from 1 species
AAACGCUUGAAGUCCAGUCGCGUCACUCAGGGAUCAACCUUGCUUUUGCUUGGUGUACUUUCUGGUUGAUGGGUCAACAUCAAUUUUGAUCAGUGGAUAAGAAUCGAGGGAAUGUGGCACCUUUGGGUGUGUUAUAGCCUUUGGUUGUAUGCAUUGGUUGGGAUUGAGGAUCUCAGCACGCCGCAAGGCUGGGUUUUUAUUAACCACAUUCGUGCUUAGGAUGUUGGCAUAAUGGCUUCAAUCGA